rfam:Gossypium arboreum cultivar AKA8401 contig_2929_3, whole genome shotgun sequence.
UACUACUUCUUCUUUUUCCUUUUUUUCUAGCAGGUUCUUAUAGUUUAUGACUAUAAGAAACCCGU